AUUGACUUUAGGGCCCUAAAGGGUCUUAAUAACAUCUAAUCCAAUCUCGAACAUUUAUCGUGUAGAACCUAGGCCUAGGGCAACUUCCAUAUCUUAGCUUCCAUACUGGGUUCUUGCAGAUAACCACUUUCCUGAAGACUUACUUCUGUUUUUAAAUUGUUAUUUCCUGGUCACCAUGGGCAAGUUUUCUCUCUGAGAUUAUGUUUCUGACUUGGAGUUAGAGAUUCCUCAUAGUUUCUUGAUCAGUAUAUCAUUGUUAGGCUACAUUCAGUCAGCAUCCAUUUCUGGCUCAUUUAAUCCUCGUAACAACCCUGAGAGGUAUUAUUAUUGGCACUUACAGUUGAAGAACCUAAGGCAAACAAAGGUUAAAUGACUUGCCCAGGGUCACACAACUAAUAAGUGUCUAAGGCUGUAUUUGAACUUGGGUCUUCCUAACUCUCCGCCCAUUGCCGGUUUCUGGCCCAGACAGUAAUUGGUCUAACGAGAUUUUGGCCAGAGUCUUGAAAUGUACUAUUCUGGCCCCUAAGCCCCAGAAGUGGGAGUUAGAGGAAAGACCAACAAUGAUAUAGAGAAGGUAAGAAGGAAAGGGGAUUGGGAUAAGAGGCAUAAAAUAUGGAGAAAUGCAAGAGGUAAGAAGGGCUGUGACAAAACCCACCAUUAGUCCAUCGUGAUCUUGUGAUGCUUCCCUAGUUUGGGGCUGAGCUGAAAGGAUAUAUAACAAGACACUUAUGCUUGGUCUGUCUUCUUUAUCUGCUAUUUCCCCUUAGAUUCCCAGAGCUCUGACCCAUGGCCUGGAACAAACAAACAAACAAACAAACAAACAAGAAUGGAGUUGGAAUAGGUUCUCAAAGCCCCAGGAAGAAGUGAUGAGAACCUCAGGGAUGGGGUAGAACAUGGUGGUUCAGCUGGUUCCUUCCAUCAUCUCUGGGACCAGGUGGCUUCAGGCGAGUUUCGGGUGCAUCCUAACAGAGACGAUGCCCUCUCUCAGCAAGAGAGGUGAGCCGCUGCUGGCCGCUGUCCAGCACUGCCCUGCCCUGGAGUUCCCAAGAACUCCAGGGCUUCUUUAUCAUGGCUGAGUCCCAGGAAGCUUCCGAGAAAAGAGCGGCUGGAAGAAAAGAUCAGCAGCUGGAGGCAAGGGGGACACUCAGCGCCUCCCGAGCCAGAACUGCAGCGAGUCACGGGUUGGAGCUAGGCCUGGCCCAGGUCAAUAGUGUCAAUGCUAGCUGGCGUUUAGAAAAAUACUGAAAACAAUUAGCCAGGCUUUUCUUCGCCUUGCCUUUCUAAUCAAGCACUCUCCACUUCCAGCCGGGGCGAGAACUCUGCUUUCACCCCCACCCCAUCCUACCCCCUCUCCCCUCCCCGCCCUUUCUCAGGGCUGCCCCUCACGCCCCUGGGGAACCUAGCAGCACGGACUCAGGAGGGUGGGGCGGGGAGGAGGCGCGUGGAUAAAGCCAUGGGCUUGGGAGGCAAGCGCCGAGGCGCCCGCGGGAGACUUGCGCCCUGCGCACUGUUGGCCUCUGCUUGGUUCCAGGCGAACCCCACGCUUGGUGAGUGAGGCAGGGAGCCGGGUGUGGGGCUGAGAAGGCUGGAAAGGAAGCUGGGUGAGGUUCAGACAAGAAAUGUCAUUAAACUUAAUUAGCAUUUUGAAUUAUAGUCAGAGGAUCUCAUUUGUCAGAAGAAACUGAGGUUCAAGGAAGACUUAGCUAGGGUCACGUGGGUAGAAUAUAGCCAAAAUGGUACUUGAACCUACAUCCUCCAGCCCCAAAGUCCCCGCUCUUUUCCGUGAAAACACCCAGGGUUACCUUGGUGGUCCACGAGUCCGGAACAUUGGAUUUAGCACUUUAGUUCAAAUGCAGUCUCAGCUAUUUACCAUGUGGGGGGAUCUUAAGGGAGUCACUUCUCUCUGAAACAGCCUCCUCCUCUGUAAAAUGAGGAAGCUGAAUGAAUUAGGUAAUCUCGGCAUCCCUGGCGCCUGGUAAAUAGUAGCUAGAUCCUCGUUUGACUGAUCUUUAUGGUCCUUUCCGGCUCUAGAUGCAGUUAUCUUAAGGCGGGGAUGCACAAUGAAGUCAAGAGACA
ensembl:lncRNA